ensembl:lncRNA
CAGGCCUCCCUGUCCAUCACCAACUCCCGGAGUUCACUCAGACUCACGUCCAUCGAGUCAGUGAUGCCAUCCAGCCAUCUCAUCCUCGGUCGUCCCCUUCUCCUCCUGCCCCCAAUCCCUCCCAGCAUCAGAGUCUUUUCCAAUGAGUCAACUCUUUGCAUGAGGUGGCCAAGGUACUGGAGUUUCAGCUUCAGGACCAUUCCUUCCAAAGAAAUCCCAGGGCUGAUCUCCUUCAGAAUGGACUGGUUGGACAUCAUUAGUAAUAAUGAAAUUGUAAAUUAAAACCACAGUGAAAUAAUACCACACGGCUGUUAGAACAGCUAUAAACCCAAUCCAAAUCAAACUGAAACAAAACAAAAAACUGACAAUACUACAUGCUGGCAGGGGUGUUGAACAACUGGAGCUCUCAUACAUUCCUAGUAGGAGGGCAAAACAGUACAGUCACUUUGGGAAAGAAUUUGGCAGUUUCUUAUAAAGGUGAACAUACACUUACCAUAUAACCCAGUAAUCCGAGGUGUUCACCCAAGCGAAAUGAACACUUAAGUUCACACAAAAAGACUGUACACGAUUGUUUAUUGCAGCUUCAUUCAUAAUCACCCAAACUGGAAACCCAAAUGUCCAUCAGCAAUUGAAUGGAUACACUGUGGCACAUGUAUGCAAUGAGAUACUACUCAGCAAUAAAAAUGGAAAAACUGUUGAUAGAUAUGAUAACAUGGGUGAAUCUCAAAUGCAUUUUGCUAUGUGAAAGGAGCCAGAUCCAAAUACGAUCUGCAGAUCAUAUGGUUCCACUUAGGUAACUUUCUCAGAAAGCAGAAAUAAAGAGAUGGAUCAAUUGUUGCUGGGGGCUUGGUGUGACAAAAUGUGCUGGCUACACAGAGGCAACACUAGGAGAUUCCUUGAGCUAAUACAACUCUGUUGUAUGUUGGUAUCGAUGGAGGCAUACUGCUGCUUCACUUCUGAGUCAAGAUGCACACGUUUCUGCAUUCUAGGGAGCUAAUAGUAAGAAAUUUUAACUUCUGAUUUUUGAUUAUAUUGAAAUAGUCGUACCUACCCAUUGAAUUCUCUAUAAGUGCUUUUGACCUUUUGCAGCACAAGUUGGAAAUUUCAGUCAUUGACAAACCUAGAAAAUUCCAUCACAGAUAAGAUGUGGCAUGGAGAAUAAUGGUUGGUCUAUGGAUUUCCCAAGUGGUGCUAGUGGUAAAGAACCUGCCUGCAGGAGACAUAAGAGACUUGGGUUCAAUCCCUGGGUUGGGAAUACCCUCUGGAGGAGGGCAUGGCAACUAUUCCAGUAUUCAUGACUGGAGAAUCCCAUGGAUGGAGCCUGUCAGACUACAGUCCAUAGGGUCGCAAAGAGUUGUGAAUGCAGUGACUUGGCAUGCAUGAAAAUAUAUUCUAACCCUUGGAACCUAUAAACAUGUUACCUUAAGUGGUAAAAGGGUCUUCAUGUUUCAUGAUUAGUGUUAUGGAUCUUGAGAUGGGGAGAAGAUCUUGGAUUAUCCAGGUGGGCUCAGUAUGAUCAAAUGAAUCCUUAAAGGAAAAACAGAACCUUUUCAGCUGUGGUCACAGGUUACAUGACAGUGAAAGAGUGGUCCCUCCCUCUUUCGCAUCCUUGCUCUGUUUUUCUCCACAGUAUUUCUCACCACGUGGUAGGUAGAGUGGUGACUCCCCAAAGAUGCACGCAUCCUAACCCCCAGAUUCUGUGCCUAUGUUUCAUCACAUGGCAAAAGGGAGAUCAGGUUGCAGAUGGAAUUAAGUUUGCUAUUUUGCUGACCUUCAAGUAGGAAGAUUAUUUUGGGUGAUCCAGGUGGACCCAGUGUCAUCACAAGGGUCCCAAAAAGUGGAAGAGGAAGGCAGACGAGGUCAGAGUGAAGUGAUGAGAGGAUUCAGUUUGCUCUUGUUGGCUGUGAGGAUAGAGGAAGGGUCAUGAGCCAAGGAAUGCAGCAGUGCUGGAAGCUGGAAAAGGCAAGGAAAAGGAAUUCUCAGGACUUCCCUGGUAGUCCAGUGGAUAAGACUCCAUGCUCCCAAUACAGGGGGCCCAGGUUCCAGUCCUGGUCUCAGAAUUAGAUCCCACAUGCCUCAACUUAGAGUUCGCAUGCUGCAACUAAAGAUCCUGCAUACCGCAACUAAGACCUGGUGCAGCCACGUUAAAUAAAUAAUCAUUCAUUUUAUUUUUAAAAAUGAGGAUUUCCCCCAUCGACACCUUGAUGUCAGCCCAAUGAGAUGGGUGUCAGACUGCUAACAAGAGACUAAAUCUGUGUUGUUUCCAGCCACCAAGUUCGUGGUAAUUUGUUACAGGGGCAAUAGAAAAUGUAUUAUUCUUAAGCAUAACGAGAAAAUAUUGAGUAGGGAACUACUUGGUUUCCUGGUCCCUCAACCUUCAACUGUGGGCAGGGUAUCUAUUUGUCCAUUCUCAGAAUCAUUGCCACUGGGAUCAGUUCUAUGGCUGCAAACUUAACAGACGUUUAUCUUCUCAGUUUAUUUAUUUGUGUCUUCAUUGCUGGGAGCAGGCAUUUUCUAGUAGCGGCAAGUUGGGGCUACUCUCGAGUUGCCAUGGGCGUGCUUCUCAUUGUGGCGAAUUCUCACUAGGGAAGUCCCGUGAUGUUUAUUGAGUAUAAGAUUUACUGAGUAUUAAAUUAAACCAUGCCCACUGCCAGUAAUAUUACUGAAAAGCCUUUCCCACCUCCUGCUCACAGGUGGUGUGGCCUCACUUGAACCCAUUUGAGGUCACGUCUGCUCUGCAUCAAGAGUGAUGCUCCUGAUCUGAAGUUUUCCCUUCACCGGACACCACUGCAAACUGGUCCCUACCUAGACCCACGCUGGCUUCACUCUGACAUAGAUUUAUCUUCCCUCCGCUCUUUGCUGGCUUGGAAUUUUGCUUUAUGCCUGUGUGACAUGGGGAAAAUGUUUUAAAAGGGUGUCCUGGCAAUACCUCCCUUCUUGUCCACAAGGAAGAAUGAAUGCUUUGUGUACUCUGCUCACUAGAGGGCCUUUGUUGAAGCAAGCAGGGUGAUUGGCAGUGAGGAGAAUUAAAAUGCUGAGAGGAGACCGAAUUGUUUUACCCACCAGAGAAUGAGGAAGAAAAUAUUAUUAGUAUCUUGAAGAGAAGAGGAAGUAGAAAUGGGUAAACCCUAAGCUGUGGAGUUUUUGAGGAAAGAAACUCAAGGAAUAUUUCAAAGGAAGGUUUUCUCUGUAAUAUGUAAUGUCAUCUCUAUAGGGCUUCCCAGGUGGCUGGGUGGUAAAGAAUUCCCCUGCAAUGCAGGAGAUGUGAGUUCAGUCCCUGAAUUGGGAAGAUUCCUUGGAGAAGGAAAUGGCAACCCAUUCCAGUAUUCUUGCCUGGAAAAUCCCAUGAACAGAGGAGCCUGGUGGGCUAUAGUCCAUGGGGUUGCAAAGAGUUGGACAUGACUUAACGGCUAAACAACAGCAGCAACAACAGUCUUCUCUUUGCUUCCCUAAGGAACGCUCAUUAAGCACUGGAUCUGUGGCAGACUGGUUGCAGGAAGCCGAGGCUAGUCCUCUGGGCAAAGGCAAGAGCAAGAUGACCCUAAACAGCCUGAGUGGUUUCAGGUGGUCAGAGUGAGGGGAAACGGAUGGGAGGAUGCAAAGCAGUCUUUGAAUAGCAGUUCUUUCAUUCGGGGUGUUUGCUCAGGACUCAGGAAUUCUUCAGAAAGGUUGCAGGAAGAAGCUACUCCUCAGGGGAGUCCAAGAAAAAGAGCAAGGAGAGGGCAUCUGUUAGCCCGCUUCCUCCCGCUUCCCUUUCCCUUGGCCAAAGUUCACCCUAGGAAGACUUAAGUCCUCUGAUCUCCCAGGUGGCAGAAUCUGGCCACUCUGUGACCAUUUGGGAAAUUAACUUCACAGCAUGUGGUGUGGCCACUUCAUUCAAAUCUGGAAGUGGGGAGUGACUCUAGUUGCUUUUGUCAAAGCAGGCAUUGCAGUGUACCCUCAUCGCUUCGUGGUGGGUGCAAAAAGAAAGGACAGGAGAGGUAAUGGAGGGAAGCUGAGAAGGCUAAAAACAUUUGUGUCUGUAACUGAGAAAAACGUGUAUUUAAAUCUUUCUUAAAAUUAAUUUGUUUUGGAUUGUAGUUGCUUUACAAUAUUUUUUUUUCCCCUGCUGUAUGGCAGAAUGAAUCAGCUAUAAAUAUAUAUAUAGCCUGUCUUUUUGGAAUUUCCUUCCCUCCCAUUUAGGUCACCACAGAGCACCAAGUAGAGCUCCCUGUGCUGUCAGUAGGUUCUCUUUAGUUCUCAGUUUUAUACAUAGCAGCGUAUGUGUUGACAGUCCCAGUCUCCCAAUUCAUCCCCCCAUCCCCUUCGUCCCUUAGUGUCCAUAUGUUUGUUCUCAAUGACUUUGUCUCUAUUUCUACUUUGCAAAUAAGAUCAUCUAUACCAUUUUUUUGUGUAUGGAUGUACGAGUUGGACUCUAAAGAAAACUGGGCACCGAAAAAUUGAUGCUUUUGAACUGUGGUGUUGGAGAAGACUCUUGAUAGUCCCUUGGACUGCAAGGAGAUCCAACCAGUCCAUCCUAAAGGAAUUCAGUCCUGAAUGUUCAUGGGAAGGACUGAUGCUGAAGCUGAAACCCCAAUACUUUGGCCGCCUGAUAUGAAGAACUGACUCAUUUGAAAAGAUCCUGAUGCUGGGAGAGAUUGAAGGCGGCAGAAGGGAACGACAGAGGAUGAGAGGGUUGGAUGGCAUCACCAACUCGAUGAGUUUGAGUAGGCUCCAGGAGUUGGUGAUGGACAGAGAAGCCUGGCAUGCUGUGGUCCAUGGGGUGUCAAAGAGUUGGACACGACUGAAGGACUGAACUGAACUGCAUACCAUUUUUCUAGAUUCCACAUAUAUGUAUUAGUAUAGGAUAUGUGUUUUUCUUUCUUUCUCCACUUUGUAUGCCAGUCUCUAGGUCCACCCAUGUCUCUACAAAUGACCCAAUUCCAUUCCUUUUUAGGGCUGAGUAAUAUUCCACUGUAUAUAUGGACCACGUCUUCUUUAUCCAUUCCUCUGCUGAUGGGCAUUGAGGUUUCUCCCAUGUCCUGGCUGUUGUGAAUAGUGCUGCAAUGAACAUUGGGUUGCAAAACUUGUAUUUAAAUGUUGCUACAAAUUGUGAAUUGUGUUUUAAGUGCAAGUGUUUUCAUAAAGGCACAGAAAACUAUUUGAAAGAGUAGGAAAUCAUUUCCGUAUGCGGCCAGAGAAAUCUAAGCUUUAGACUUACAGACUAUAACUGUAGCAUCCCCAGCCCACCAUGUAGCAGCUUCUACCAUCUUGUUUUUGUUUUUGUUUUUGACCCAAGUCAUACUUACUUAUAUUUUACUAUUUAAAAGAAAAUUUAGACACAGCCUUGUGGGUGAAGGGAGUUGCAUUAGUGUGACACCUGGCUUUUUGGAGGUCCCUGUCUUAACUCGGCCCUGAACUGAAGGAGGGCAUGGUUUACUUGGCACAUUUGUGGGGAGUAAAGUAAGCUUGCUCAGCUCAUCCUUGUCCCCUUCCCUCUUCGGCACCAGCCAGCAUGAGGUCUACUCUGAGAGCAGCUGACCCUCUCAUUCCCAUCAAGACAAGUGUACUUUAAUCAGAGUUCCUGGAUCCUGCUCUAGGACUUGGCGUCAGGAAGCUCUUCUCUCAUAGUAAACCGAAUCCUGCAACCCAGCUUUAUCAGGAGUUAAGUGGUCAUUUGGUUUUCUUCUUCCAUUCUGUUAUCUCAUUUUUUAAAUUUGCGUUUAACUCAGAAAAGGAGGAAGGGUGCUUUCUACUGGAUGCCCCUUCAGUGUUCCCACGUUUGAGGCACUGACUAGAAAACUGAUAUGUGAGAAAUAAGAACAGUCAGGGAGAAGCAAAUGAAAACACGUGGAGUGAUCAAGGCUUCUGGAGUGGCUAAAGAUUGGUGUUGGUCCUGGGGUCUCGUUCUUGAGUGUGUGCAGGACAUCAUGAUUGUUUGUUUUAAUUGAACAUUGAUUUACAGUGUUGGUGUUUCAUUACCUCUCUACAGCAAAAUGAGUCAGUUACGCACACACACCUUGGCCACCUGAUGUGAAGAGCUGAGUCAUUGGAAAAGACCCUGAUGCUGGGAAAGAUUGAAAGUAGGAGGAGAAGGAGGUGACAGAGGAUGAAAUGGUUGAAUGGCAUCACUGACUCAAUGGACAUAAGUUUGGGCAAACUUCAGGAGACAGUGAAGGACAGGGAAGCCUGGAGUCCUGCAGUCCAUGGGGUCCCAAAGAGCCGGACCUGACUUAGCCACUGAACAACAGCAACAAAUGUGUAUACGUAUAUAUAUGUACAUAAGAUUUUUAUAUGGGCCAUAUUUUUAAAGUCUUUAUUGAAUUUGUUACAAUAUUGCUUCCUUUUUUGCUGUGAGGCAUGUGGGAUCUUCACUCCUCUACGAGGGACAGAACCCAAACUUCCUUCAUUGGAAGGCAACGUCUUUUAACCGCUGGAUUGCCAGGGAAGUCCCUAUACAUUCUUUAUUUAUAUUCUUUUCCAUUGUGGUUUAUCACAGGAUACUGAAUAUAGUUCCCUGUGCUAUGCAGUAGGACCUUGUUGUUUUUCCAUUCAAUUCCAUAUAUAUAUAUAUAUAAGCUUACAUCUGCUAACCCUAACCUUCUACUCCAUCCUUCCCCCAACCCCCUCACCCUUGGCUGUCACUAGUCUGUUCUCCAAGGACAUUUUGCUCUUGGCAGUUUGUGUAGGCAUAUAUUGGACCAGGUAGUUGUUUUUUUUUCUGAUGGUGCAGUUGGCUUUUAAGAGCUGUGGCUGGGGAAAAAGACCUUGGAAAAGGCACUCAGAGGUUGUAAGUGGCCUUGGCAGGGGCACAGGAACCAGGAGAGGAACUUAGCAGGGGCCAGCGAGCUGAAGAGGCCUUAAUAAGCAGUUACAGCUGGGGCAAGGAUUCAAUUAUAAGGAGAAAGAAACAGUCCCUUCAUACACUGUCCUUUUAGAUAUUAAAGGAGUGGGAAAAUAUUUGCCAUUUUUUAAACUGCGGGGCAGCUGGCUUCUCUCUGGACUGCAGAGCAUUAGUGAGAGAUUAGUUUUCAAUGUGCUAGUGCUAGGCCUAGGCAGGUAAGAUAAACAAACAGCUCUACUUAAAAUUCUGCUUUUAUGUUGUUUUGAACCAUCUUCAAGGGCAAAAGAGGGCGGGGUGGAUGGACCUAGUUUGAAUUCCUGUGGCCCAAGAAUUAUUCCCUCUAUUUUUGUCCUCAAGGCUACUAGAAACUAGCUAUUUAGAUACGAUAGAGAAAUCCUCCCCAGGUAAUGGUUUACCUGUGUAGUCACUCCUUCGUGCCUGACUCUUUGUGACCCCAUGGACUGUAGUCUGCCAAACUCCUCUGUCCAUGGGAUUCUCCAGGCAAGAAUACUGGAGUGGGUAGCCAUGCCCUCCUCCAGGGGAUCUUCCCAAUGCAGGGAUCGAACCCAUGUCUCCUGUGUCCCCUGCAUUGCAGGGGGAUUCUUUACCCACUGAGUCUGGGGAAGUCCCUAAGGAUUCCACAAAAAGAGGCUGUGGAAAGAGCCAUUGCAGUGCAGGAAGAGAACUGUUCACUGGUUACUGUGGGAGCUCUGUUAGACAGGGUUCACCUUCCCCUCAGCCCUGUGGUGCAGGCACCUCAAGUUGAAAAAGGCUGUGAAAAUGAAAAGGUUUUGAAUAUCUGAGUGGGAAAGAACAGCUGCUUCAGUAAAAUCUGAUGACUGAGGUGUUGCUCCUGCACAUUUCUAAACUUUGCAAGACAACAUCCCCGCGAAUACCUGGCUGGAGAGAGGAGACCGUGUACAUAGGUGGAGCUUCCACAUAUGUACAUGCAAGGUACUUACGGCAGAAAUGAACCCGUCGCUAGGAGAUUUCUCCUGAAUAGAUUUGGAUGCACAGACCACAGCAUCUGGACUCUUGGUAUCAAUCAACCAGCAACCCAGUGAAGCUGCAAUCUCUCCAACAGUCUUUGAUAAUCCGGAGUACUGGUUCUGGGUAUGUCUUUUGUUUGAGAUACCUGCAAGGAAGUGGCUUGUUUUCUGAAUAGGGUGUGGAGCUAGUACCGUAGUCCUUUUGUGCAUGCAUGCCAAGUUGCUUCAGUUAUGUCCGACUCUUUGUGACCCUCUAGACAGUAGCCCACCAGGUUCCUCUGUGCCUGGGAUUCUCCAGGCAAGAAUACUGGAGUGGGUUGCCAUGCCCUUCUCCAGGGAGUCUCCCUAUCCAGGGAUUGAAACUAUGUCUCUUACACCUCCUGCACUGGCAGUUGGCAGGUGGAUCCUCUACCACUAGCACCACCUGGGUCCUUCUGUACGUUCUACUAAAUCUAUCUUUAGGGAAAAAAGGUACAUCACAGACUCAGCUGGUGUUGUUAUUAUUUUCUCAUUGAGAGGCCCUGUAAGAACUGUCCCCAUUCCAAAGAGAUGCAGCUUAACACAUUAUUGACUGGGGGAUUUUUGCAGAAGCGAACACCUGUGGCUGGUGUUUGUUGUGUAAGUGAAUAUCGAAACAUUCAGGUAUUAAUACGUCUCUGGUCAAUGAAUUGUUAAAUUGCUAGAUGAUCUCUGACUCCACUCAAGCAUUGAAAUCCUCUCUAGCUGAGAGCAGAACAGCAAGAUGGGGGGAUGAAUUUUGGACUUUAAUUUCUUU